ACAGCAGUAGCCACGGGAAUACGAAGGGUGCAAGCGUUAAUCGGAAUUACUGGGCGUAAAGCGUGCGUAGGCGGUGAGUUAAGUCUGCUGUGAAAUCCCCGGGCUCAACCUGGGAAUGGCAGUGGAUACUGGCUCGCUAGAGUGUGUCAGAGGAUGGUGGAAUUCCCGGUGUAGCGGUGAAAUGCGUAGAGAUCGGGAGGAACAUCAGUGGCGAAGGCGGCCAUCUGGGACAACACUGACGCUGAGGCACGAAAGCGUGGGGAGCAAACAGGAUUAGAUACCCCCGUAGUCCCUGUCUCUUAUAC
rnacentral:rRNA from 1 species